rnacentral:lncRNA from 1 species
ACACACACACACACACACACACACACACACACACACACACACACACACACACACACACACACACACACACACACACACACACACACACACACACCAGUAUUUGACCUGAUAUGACUCUCAGCAGCCCUCUUAGGGAAUAGUUUUAAAGCAAAAAUUAAUAAUGAUCAGGGCGAUGUUCAAUAAGCGUCCUUAAGCUAAUUUAAGAAAUUAAUGAGCAUGUUAUGGUUCCCCGAGGCGUAAAGGUUUAGCACAGAACAGUCAUGAGCUCUAUGUACGCGUGUAUAAUCCCUCAGUAUGCUGUGUCCAUAUGGAUUAUGAAACACUGUGAUGGCUUUUCACUUCCUUGUUGGGAGCAAGAGGAGCGCUGUGGCUCUGAGGUAAACGGACAGAUGGAGCAUCUUCACAUUAACAGUUGAUUGGUCUCAUCACUUUUCCAUCCUUAAGAUUUUAUUUCUCAUGUGUUUGUGUGAAUAAGGUGUUUACAGGGUUAAAUGAUUAUGAUAAAUGACCCGCACUUGUACAGCGCCUCUCAGAGUAAGGACUCCAAAGCGCUUUACACCGCAGUAUAUCAUUCAUCCAUUCACACACAUUCACACACUGAUGGUGACGAGCUACGAUGUAGCCACAGCUGCCCUGGGGCCACUGACAAAGAUCCAAAGGGGAAAAGUCAACGGGUUUCAUUCAUUGAAGACAACGUGUGACUUAUUUUGAUCCCAGUUGACCAACUCAGCUCCCCUCCACACACGUCUGGGUCAUUUGGGCAGCAAACCAACAUGGCUUGUUACGCACUUCCUGUAUAUUAUCAUGUAUGUUACCAGUUGAGCCAGUGUUCCACUGGUUGGUCUCGAGCACUGUAAAUGUUCACUGUGAGGUUUCUCAUUAUUUCUUCUCAGAAGAUGACAUUUCUGAGUAUGGAAUUAUCUGGAAUGAACCAGGAAAACCAAACCUGAACACACCAGUCAGAGUCGCACCGCUUUGGGUCAGAGAAAUAGAGAUGAUCUCCUGUAAAACUGCUCAUCAGCUGGAGAUAUCUUCACCUCGCUGGAUGAUUAGCUCAACCUGGAUUUCCACCACCACCUUCAUCACGUGCCUGCAACCCGUCCGGACCUGUUCCUCCAUCUCCCAGCCAGUCCCUGGCCGUCCACUCCUCCUUGACCUUACCGGAUCCUGUCCUCGCUCCCGUGCUCAGCUGUCCCAGUCCGCCAGCAACCUGAAACCCCAGUCUCCUGUUAACCGGCAAGUGUGUGUCUCUGUUUCCCUCACUCCUCCCGGAUCACCCCAGACCAAGCUACUCCCCGUUCUCAUGCUCCCCCCUGGACCACGAACCGUAAGUCCCGACUCUCACCCCAGUAUUCCUGGUCGUCCACUUCCACUAACUCUCCCUCCCUGUCCCUAGAUUCCUUCCGGAGUCCCAGCUGGAUUUUCCAGCUGCGCUUUUUGUUUACCUUUUAUAAUAAACAUUACGUCUCAUCAUAUUCGGCCUCGGUGCAUGAUUCUGCAUGUCGUGGGUCAGACACCUUCCCCUCACCAUGACAUAUUUAAAGUCCCAUUAGUUGUCACACACACAGGUGUGUGUGCGAAUUUUAUUUUCCGCAUUUGACCCAUCCCCUGGGGGAGCGGUGAGCUGCAGACAAGCCGCGCUCGGGAACUAUUUGGUGGUUUAACCCCCCAAUCCAACCCCUUAAUGCUGAGUGUCAAGCAGGGAGGCAUUGGGUCCCAUUUUUUCAAAGUCUUUGGUAUGACCCGACCAGGAAUCGAACCCUGAUCUCCCAGUCUCAGUCCAAAGGACAUAUUUGUUCACUUGUGCAUGCUUUUAGUCUUUCUUUGCAGCCUAAACAUGAAACUGUUUGAUUGGAAAUUGGGAAAAAAGACAAAAACACUCUGAAAUCUGCUGAAAAAUAUAAAACAAUUAGAAAGUAAAACAGAAACAUAAAAAAUGAAAGAGUCUGCUAAUAGCCCAGGUUGACUUUCAGUGUUUGACCUUCAAAGUGACGACACUGACAAGCUACAUCUGGCUAUUCUACGUAAAUAACCAUACAUAACCGAAUAAUACUAAACGUAUUGUGGUGUGAAGGUCAAAUAAAAAAGAAACAUGUGCAUGAAGCUGUUUUAUGAAGACAGCAACACACUCUGUCUUGGCUGUGUUUGAACUUGUUGUUAGCUCAUCGGCCUUAAGGAUGUAAACUCUGUUUCUUUAAGCAGAGGCUGUUCAGAAAGUUAAUAUUUAUUCAUUUUUUUAUAAUUAAAGUUUUUAUUAUUUUCAGAUUUUUUAUAACAUACAAAAACAAAAGAAACCACACAGGCUUGUGC